UUGUCAAAUGGUUUUUCUGCAUCUAUUGAAAUAAUCAUGUGAUUUUUGUUUUGAAUUCUAUUUAUGUGGUGUAUCACAUUUGUUGACGUGUGUGUGUUAAACCAUCCCUGCAUCCCUGGUAUGCAACCCACUUGAUUAUGGUGGAUUAUCUUUUUGACAUGUUGUAGUUGAUCAUUGCAACUUGCCAAUCAAGAUCACAGGCUAAGAGAGUAUGAAAUUGUUCCUUGCUUAAAGGUAAGAAAAGAGUAGCAGAGUCAUAUCGAAAAAGUGUCUUCUUUAUGCCCUACUGAAGGGAGUGAAGUUGGGGGAGGAACUCCUUCCUGUUGUUCUGCUUUCUGUGUUCCCUUUUCCUUUAAAUUUUCCGAAUUCCCUUCAGGUGAAGAAAAUGGGCAAUCUGACUCACCACGAUCUGGCAUAUAAAGAGGGUACAACACAGAACAUGCCAGAAUCCAGGUGAUCAAAACGGUAACAUUAGUAAAAUGGCCCUGCUCAAAUCCUCUUUUCAGGCAGCAAUCUGCCUGCUCCCAUAACUCUAAGUUUAAUGUUCCUUGGUCAGGGAAACAAGGGCAUUCCUGCUGAAUUAAAAACAUAAGCUUAUGCAAAGCUUCAGA
rnacentral:lncRNA from 1 species